UUUUACUUGACUUUAAAAUAUCUAGUACUUAAGUAAUAUCCUUAUAUUCUCUCUCUUUCCCAUUAAAAACAUUUUUCAAGUGUCAAAGUGUUGUCUCUUCAAACAGAGUUUGCUUUUAUUUUAAAAACAAUUAGCCAAAUAGUUAAUUAUCGGAUAAUCGCAUGUUAGCGGACAUUUUGGGUGCUUUCGAACUCUUCUCGAAAUGUUAAUAUGAACCCCGAACCCCCUUGAAUAUUUUCAUUAGAUUUCUGUUUUAAUCUUUUGAAAAAAAAAUGGUUUUCUUGAUUUUUCUCAAAAAAUUAAGUGGCGACUCUUAAACCAGUACAAUAAUAUUUUUCUAAUAAAACACUUCUUUUUCCUCAUUAAAAGAAAACGUCAUCUUUGAAUUUUCAAACCAACCUAGAACACUUAUGUGACAAAAGACGGUCUUAUAGUCCAAGUUGCAUUUACAAAGUAUCCACAAUUUUCAUGGCAUUUGUUAAGUAUGCUGCAUUUCUUUGUUUUGACAUAUUUGGUUUAUAAGUGCCUGUCUAUACUAGUGUUGAAAGGGUGGUGGUCUCCACCAUCUUGCCGGAAAGUUUUACUACUUAAUACAGCCAUAGUACUGUUGGACUUCCCUGGAUUUGACAGCUUUCUAUAGAUCUUGAGACGUUGGUGAUUGACCGGAAACCAAGAGUACUAGCUAAAUGCCAAUGGAACUAGUGGUGGAUGCAAAUGGGUUGAGAUGUUCGUAUUGUAGCAUCUUGUGUGGCUUGCUCCGGAGGACAGAGGGCCACUACUUCAGAACAAGAUGACACAUAUCAAACAACUCAUUGAAACAAUGGUCAGACACCCCUUUUUCCAUUGAUCUUGAAUAAGUCUGAUCUGUUUGAGGAGAAGGUCGCUCGUGUACCAUUGGACUCUUAUGAGUGAUUCAACGAUUCUAGUCUAGUGCGGGACUCACCAUAGUAACCAGUCACUAGCAAAACAAUCAUAUUAUUAUGUCGCAAUGAUGUUUAAAGACCUCUAUGCUUCUCUCACACAUAGAAAGCUAUUUGUGUGGCAAGCUCAGGCAAUAGACCGAGUGACAGCUGAUGAGGUGUUCAAGUAUGUAAGUUAGGUUGUGAAGUGGGACGAGAAAAAGGAAGAGACCUACUAUGCCACAUAAUGAUAUCACCAUGACCUAGUGGGACUACAUAUGCCACAUAAUGAUAUCACCAGAAGAGUUCCUCACUAUGCCACAUGGUCUACGUUGUCCUUGUCUUCAACUGCCAUCCCUGUUUAGUUUUACUUAUCCUAGAUUAGGUUUGGAUAAUUCUACGUUGAGGUGAGUAUUUCUCGAUGUGGUUAUAGAUGUUGCUCCUGGAAAGCGUAGUUUAGAUUUUGGAAAUUGAAUUUGAAAGCUGAUUUGCAAGAUGCUAAGAGGAUCGUUCUCUAAUUUAUCAGCAAACUGUCCAACUUGACCUUCUUUGACAGAAAUUUCAUGUAACGAAAGUGAUUAAUGAGUAAAGCCAAUUCUACAAUCAACUUCUUUUUUCUAGUGGCAUGUAAGAGAUGUUUAUGCGAGGAGAUAACGGACCAACUUUGAUGAAAGCUUUGAAGCAUUUUGUUGUUGUAAGCAUGAACCAUUUUGUAACAUUCUAAGCAACAAUGUGUUCAUUCUCUGUUCCUUGUGAUU